rnacentral:lncRNA from 1 species
CAGAACCCGGACGGGUCGGAAAAAAUCCGACCCGACCCGGACCGGUAGACCCAUUAGCCACCUUUAGUGCUCACACUAGAGUUGUCGAUAGAGAGAAUUCCGCUGGCCUUGGCUUUCCGUCGGCCACAACCAAGAGUGUAGAAAGUAUAGAAGAGUGAGAGUUGAGAGAAUAAUAGUAGUUGUAGCAGUAGUUAACUCUUAAAGGGAAAACGGGAAAUGCAGUUUAUAUAGUGGUAAAAAUAAACAUGCAAAUAGAAAAAUAUAGUCAAUCAAACAUAAACAAGGAAAGAAGAAAAUGUAAAAAUCAAUUUAGAAUCGUAUUUGUAGAAGAAAUCAGGUAAACCCUAGUUUGCCAAGGAUCGAAAAUUGACAGGAGAUAUCCAUCGGACCCUCAGAGCCUUGAUAUGGACGUAUACAAAUAAAAUAUCGUCCAAAUCCUGAAGAGUGAAGCCGGUUUCCCUUAAUUCUUAGAGUAGUACUUGCAAAAAAUAAGUGAGCACUAUGUAACACCAUAGUCAUGUAAGUAAUUACGAGGUAGGACACUUAAGGCAAGUAAUCAUGGAAGGAAUCCAUGAUUUGAUCGAAUUCAGAGAAUAUUGGUAGGGAGGCGGAUAUGGUUUCUGAAGGAGGGAGUGGGAGAGUGUUUAGGGGCGUCCGUCUUGAAAAAAUAAGUAUUAAGAUUUGGGGUUAUGUAGUUUAAAGGGAUGGAGUGAUCGUGUGCCAUUGAAAUUGAGAGAUCAAGGCCAACGGGCGAGUCAACAGGAGUGGUCGCGAUCAGGUUUAAUGAAGGGGUGUUUGGUUUGGGCUGCUAAGAGGUGGGAUGAUGUGGGCUUAAUGGUGUGGGCCUUGAAUUUGUCUG